UGCGAGUACGUGCUGCCGCCGCCGACGAAGCCGCUGAACUGCCCGAAGCUCAGCUCGCGCUCCGCUGCCUCGAAAUCGUCGUCGUCCUCCUCCUCCUCGUCCUCGUCAUCGGUGGACGCCCGCCGGUCCGUGAAGGACUGGAUGGUCUCGAGCGGCACCGGCCGCGGCCGCGGCGCGCACUUGCCGGGCGGCGGGAGGAGGUGGUGGUGGUCGUCCGCGCGGCUGGCCAGGGAGGACAGGUUACCCUCCGAGCUGGUGCGGCGCAUGCCGGAGCCGGCGCCGAGCGAGCGCUCGUGGUCGGAUCCGGAUCCGUGGCCGGCCAGGUGGCAGGAGAUGGCCGGCGGGUGGUAGGCGGCCGCCGGCGACUCGGGGAAGUGGACGGCCGGGGAGGAGACCGCCGGCGACUGGCAGCCCGGCGGGAGCAGCGCGCCGAGGACCGGCGUGGAGGCGCUCCUCACGAGCAUGGUGGUGGCUAAUCAGAAUUCAC
rnacentral:lncRNA from 1 species